rnacentral:rRNA from 1 species
GACGAACGCUGGCGGCGUGCUUAACACAUGCAAGUCGAACGGAAAGGCCCUGCUUUUGUGGGGUGCUCGAGUGGCGAACGGGUGAGUAACACGUGAGUAACCUGCCCUUGACUUUGGGAUAACUUCAGGAAACUGGGGCUAAUACCGGAUAGGAGCUCCUGCUGCAUGGUGGGGGUUGGAAAGUUUCGGCGGUUGGGGAUGGACUCGCGGCUUAUCAGCUUGUUGGUGGGGUAGUGGCUUACCAAGGCUUUGACGGGUAGCCGGCCUGAGAGGGUGACCGGCCACAUUGGGACUGAGAUACGGCCCAGACUCCUACGGGAGGCAGCAGUGGGGAGUCUUGCACAGUGGGCGGAAGUCUGAUGCAGCAACGCCGCGUGCGGGAUGACGGCCUUCGGGUUGUAAACCGCUUUCGCCUGUGACGAAGCGUGAGUGACGGUAAUGGGUAAAGAAGCACCGGCUAACUACGUG